rnacentral:rRNA from 1 species
ACGGGUGAGUAACACGUGAGUAACCUGCCCUUGACUCUGGGAUAAGCCUGGGAAACUGGGUCUAAUACCGGAUAUGACUCCUCAUCGCAUGGUGGGGGGUGGAAAGCUUUUGUGGUUUUGGAUGGACUCGCGGCCUAUCAGCUUGUUGGUGGGGUAAUGGCCUACCAAGGCGACGACGGGUAGCCGGCCUGAGAGGGUGACCGGCCACACUGGGACUGAGACACGGCCCAGACUCCUACGGGAGGCAGCAGUGGGGAAUAUUGCACAGUGGGCGCAAGCCUGAUGCAGCGACGCCGCGUGAGGGAUGACGGCCUUCGGGUUGUAAACCUCUUUCAGUAGGGAAGAAGCGUAAGUGACGGUACCUGCAGAAGAAGCGCCGGCUAACUACGUGCCAGCAGCCGCGGUAAUACGUAGGGCGCAAGCGUUAUCCGGAAUUAUUGGGCGUAAAGAGCUCGUAGGCGGUUUGUCGCGUCUGCUGUGAAAGACCGGGGCUCAACUCCGGUUCUGCAGUGGGUACGGGCAGACUAGAGUGCAGUAGGGGAGACUGGAAUUCCUGGUGUAGCGGUGAAAUGCGCAGA